AGCGGGGUGCGGCCAGGCCCGGGCCCAGCGCGGCCGCCACACACAGCAGCGCCCGCGCCGCCAUGGCCCGUGACGUCACCGCCGCCGCCGCUCCUCGGGGGCCGCGGGUUCGAGGCUGCGGAGCGACCCCUGCCCGAGUUGCAAAAUGACCCGAAAGGCUUCCCAGGAGGUGACAGAGAAGAGCCCCAGCCCCACAUUUGACUCCUGCUGCCUGUCAGGGCUGGAGGAUCCUGGAUUUUGGGCUGAUGUGUGGCUGAGUGUUGCAGCAAGCUGCCCUCCUCUUACAUCAGGCUCUUGCAUGGGCUAACAGCACAGGACCAGGACGUUGCCCUCAGAUAUCAGCGCUCUCGUUUCCUGCAGCCCUUUACAGGAACACCACGCAGGCAGCAGGAAUUACCAGCUGCUGUUAUUAAACCUGACAACAUCCCUCCCUCUGGAGAGAGAUGGAUUUAGCAGACAGAUGGACUUUUCAUAUAGCAGAGCUCACCAGGGACCACUAGAGCAGCAACUGCCUCGAGUCUCCAAACCUUUCCAGCCAAACCCCAGCAUCCAAACCAAGACAUCUCUUCAUUAAGCAGUCUCCAGCAUCACCUUGGUAUCCAUUACCUGCAGCUAGCAUUCCCAGGACCAUCAUAAAUCCUCAAACCUGCAGCUGUGCAAUAUCCAACAAACAUCCUUAGGAGCCUGGAAACCGUUGAACACCAGGCAAGGGAGUGAAGGCAGCAAAAUGCCAUCCCUGAUAUUAUGCUGCUUGGGGAGAAAAUGUGCCUAUAAUGUUAAAAUAACUCCUGUGCUGCCUGUCCUGGCCCAGCUCUCUCCACUAAGUUGAAACAACUCAGCUAAGGCUCAGGUUCAAAGUCCUGUGUGGGGCUCACAGCAAUCAGCCAGCCCUGAUCUUCCUUUCCCACAUCAGUUGUGUCUCAGGCUGAAUGACAAGGACAGAUCUCUUUGCUGCCCCAGACCCUCCUUGCAGCUCCUGUGUCCAUGAGGGAGAGCACAGGGCUUUGCUCCAGCAAAAGAUCUCUUCUGCACAAGCAUGAAAACACAGGCAGAUCCAACAGCUCUUCUUCUUGCACCGCCUGCCCCUCAUUUUUUUUUUGCUUUUUUGGCCACAAAGCUGCUUUUUCCUGCCCAGAGGACAUUUUCCUCUUGUUGGAUGGGCCCCUAGAUUAGUUUGUCCAUGCCCUCUGCUCCCUGCCUGGCUUAGCUCCUGGGGAAAAUGCCAGCCCAUAUCUGGUUCCUGGGGGAGAGCUGACCUGCAGCAUCCUCCAUGGGACAAGUCCUGCUUUCCAGGGUGGAAACAUCACCUCCCUGGGAAUUCCAGCCCCAGGCAUGGCUGUGCAUCUCCCCACAGCCAGCCUGGCAAGCCCAGGGAGUCUCAGCCCCAUGGGCUCAGCUCAACAAGAAAGAGCCAAGUGGCUUCUGGCUCUCCUUUAGAUCCAGGGGCUGUGGCACAGAGGGCCUGGUUCCCUGGAAGUGCAGAAGCUGAGCCGAGAUUCCCUGGGCUUCGGCUCUCUGAUCACAGCACGGCAUCUCCUGCCGGCAGGAAGGCCCAGGCUAGGGAAUAUUUUACCAAAAUAAUGUCCUUGCAAUAGAGAACCCCUCCAGCAACAAGAGCAGAGCCCCAGGAAACAACACAGUGAAUGAACGAGGAGUUAUUAGGAACAGAAUCCAGAUAAAAUACUUGGGAAUGCAAUCCUGAUACAGCCUCAAUGAUUGUAAAGUGCCCAGAGCAGCAGAGAAACCUCCCCUCCCAUUAGAUCUGCUUCGAGCCCACUCACUCCAGCCUAAUAACUCCAACUGGCUUCGGGGGAAAUUAAAUUUACAAAUGAAAAAGUCCUUUUCCUUCUCAGUGCCUCGCUGCGAUUGAUUCCAGCUGUCGGGCUCGCGGUGCCUCGCACGCAGCAGCGCCAUUCCUGCUUCCAUUGGGAUGGGUUCUGCAUUCACAGAGCUAUCACAGCACCCUGCUGAUUAAAAAGUUACGUACCAGUUGCUUAGAUAAUGUAAAAUUAAAUUUUCCUGCUGCAAUCAGCCAGUGCAUUGUGCCUGUAGCGCUCUGAAAAGCGCUGCUCUUGAAUAUUUCAU